AGAUGUUAUUUAAUUUCAGGAUACAUAGGAGAUCAUAGUUUAUAUACAAAGGAGAUAGCCCUCGUACAGGAAAGCUAUUCACCAUCAAUGUUAGGUGAAAAAUUACCUGUACUUGUUGAGUCUAUGUCCUUGUGUAAUCCACCAUCUACAAGUCAGUGUGUACUGCCAUCCCAAUUUGGAUUAACAGAUCUGCAACCAAAUGAAGGUAACCAACAGCCUGUUGGAACUAAACAGCCAAUAUUGGAAUCUCAAAGAUCAGUUUUAACUAAAUCGACUGG